rnacentral:rRNA from 1 species
AUUGAACGCUAGCGGCAUGCCUUACACAUGCAAGUCGAACGGCAGCGGGGGAGCUUGCUCCCGCCGGCGAGUGGCGAACGGGUGAGUAAUACAUCGGAACGUACCCAGUAGCGGGGGAUAGCCCGGCGAAAGCCGGACUAAUACCGCAGACGCCAUACGGGGGAAAGGGGGGGAUCGCAAGACGUCUCACUAUGUGAUCGGUCGAUGGCUGAUUAGCUAGGUGGUGGGGUAAAGGCCUACCAAGGCGACGAUCAGUAGCUGGUCUGAGAGGACGACCAGCCACACUGGGACUGAGACACGGCCCAGACUCCUACGGGAGGCAGCAGUGGGGAAUUUUGGACAAUGGGCGAAAGCCUGAUCCAGCAAUGCCGCGUGUGCGAAGAAGGCCUUCGGGUUGUAAAGCACUUUUGUCAGGGAAGAAAUCGUUUGGGUUAAUACCCCGAGCAGUUGACGGUACCUGAAGAAUAAGCACCGGCUAACUACGUGCCAGCAGCCGCAGUAA